UCAGCAGUAAAUGCCGAAUUGCAUGUCAUGCAAUAAUACACCGUAAUACUGGGUUACGACACCGCGAAUCUACGUUAUCAGAGGAUCAUAUGCAAUCAGUGAAAAUCACUCCUUUUUAUACAGUGAGAUGCAGUUGUGGCAGUCGAUAUAUUUGCAUCUCUUUGUGUGUGUUCCGGAAAUUGUGUCAUCAACAGGACAAGAGCUAACUACAAUUGGAUUUCAAAGUUCCACAUACACUGUUGGUGAGGCAGAUGGCUCCGUGAAUGUUUGUGUUGGUGUUAGCAAUUUUCAGGGUCCCUUCUCAGGAACGUGAGUAAAUUUCGUUGUUCUUGUUCUUUAUAUUUAUAAGCACAUCCAGGUAGCGGACGGAAUAUUUUGUAGCUGAGACAUGUCACAACCAGCGUUGCAUGGUGAAUAAAUUUUCCACUUUUUACAUUCCUAAUCUCAAACUGGAUAGCCUUUAUUUUCAACACGUCCAAUAUUUAGA